CCUACGGGUGGCAGCAGUGGGGGAUAUUGCACAAUGGGGGGAACCCUGAUGCAGCGACGCCGCGUGGGUGAAGGAGUGCUUCGGCAUGUAAAGCCCUAUCGGCAGGGAAGAAGCAAGACGGUACCUGACUAAGAAGCCCCGGCUAACUACGUGCCAGCAGCCGCGGUAAUACGUAGGGGGCGAGCGUGAUUCGGAUUCACUGGGAGUAAAGGGAGCGUAGGCGGCCCUGCAAGCCAGGGGUGAAAGCCCGGGGCCCAACCCCGGGACGGCACUUGGAACUGCAUGGCUGGAGUGCGGGAGGGGGAGGCGGAAGUCCUGGUGUAGCAGUGAAAUGCGUAGAUAUCGGGAGGAACACCGGCGGCGAAGGCGGGUUGCUGGAC
rnacentral:rRNA from 1 species